rnacentral:rRNA from 1 species
GAUGAACGCUGGCGGCGUGCCUAAUACAUGCAAGUCGAGCGAACGGACGAGAAGCUUGCUUCUCUGAUGUUAGCGGCGGACGGGUGAGUAACACGUGGAUAACCUACCUAUAAGACUGGGAUAACUUCGGGAAACCGGAGCUAAUACCGGAUAAUAUUUUGAACCGCAUGGUUCAAAAGUGAAAGACGGUCUUGCUGUCACUUAUAGAUGGAUCCGCGCUGCAUUAGCUAGUUGGUAAGGUAACGGCUUACCAAGGCAACGAUGCAUAGCCGACCUGAGAGGGUGAUCGGCCACACUGGAACUGAGACGCGGUCCAGACUCCUAAGGGAGGCAGCAGUAGGGAAUCUUCCGCAAUGGGCGAAAGCCUGACGGAGCAACGCCGCGUGAGUGAUGAAGGUCUUCGGAUCGUAAAACUCUGUUAUUAGGGAAGAACAUAUGUGUAAGUAACUGUGCACAUCUUGACGGUACCUAAUCAGAAAGCCACGGCUAACUACGUG